GAUGAACGCUGGCGGCGUGCCUAAUACAUGCAAGUAGAACGUUGAAGCUUGGUGCUUGCACCGAGCGGAUGAGUUGCGAACGGGUGAGUAACGCGUAGGUAACCUGCCUCUUAGCGGGGGAUAACUAUUGGAAACGAUAGCUAAUACCGCAUAAAAGACGAUAUCGCAUGAUAUUGAUUUGAAAGGUGCAAAUGCAUCACUAAGAGAUGGACCUGCGUUGUAUUAGCUAGUUGGUGAGGUAACGGCUCACCUAGGCGACGAUACAUAGCCGACCUGAGAGGGUGAUCGGCCACACUGGGACUGAGACACGGCCCAGACUCCUACGGGAGGCAGCAGUAGGGAAUCUUCGGCAAUGGGGGCAACCCUGACCGAGCAACGCCGCGUGAGUGAAGAAGGUUUUCGGAUCGUAAAGCUCUGUUGUAAGUCAAGAACGAGUGUGAGAGUGGAAAGUUCACACUGUGACGGUAGCUUACCAGAAAGGGACGGCUAACUACGUGCCAGCAGCCGCGGUAAUACGUAGGUCCCGAGCGUUGUCCGGAUUUAUUGGGCGUAAAGCGAGCGCAAGCGGUUUGAUAAGUCUGAAGUUAAAGGCUGUGGCUCAACCAUAGUUCGCUUUGGAAACUGUCAAACUUGAGUGCAGAAGGGGAGAGUGGAAUUCCAUGUGUAGCGGUGAAAUGCGUAGAUAUAUGGAGGAACACCGGUGGCAAAAGCGGCUCUCUGGUCUGUAACUGACGCUGAGGCUCGAAAGCGUGGGGAGCGAACAGG
rnacentral:rRNA from 1 species